CGGCGAGCCGCCGCCGGCGGAUCAGGCGCGGGCGGACAGCACGCGGCCGCCGCCGCCGCUGCCGUGCGAGCUCCGGCAGGCGGCGACGUCGAACCCCUGGAUCCUCACCGCCGGCGCGAACGACGGGGCAAAACUGCUGCUGCUGCUGUACGCGGGGUGGUGGCCGUGGUGGGUGCUCCGGUGGUCAAAAAUCGAGAGCUCCGGCGCGGCGGCGGCGGCGGCGGCGUCGACCUCACUGUCGCUGAUGAACACGCACGAGACCUCCUCGGACAGAGUGGCGGCAAUUGAUCUGAAUUCCACCGAGGAAGAUGACACGGUGGG
rnacentral:misc_RNA from 1 species